CUUAUACUGAACCCUGAAAAAACAGAGGUCAUUAUAAAAGGCCCUAAAAGUAUGAGAGACUUCCUAACUGACCAGAUAGUCACUCUGGACAAUGUGUGUGUAGCCUCCAGUGCUACAGUUAAAAACCUAGUUUUAUUUGACCAAGAUUUCUCAUUUAAAGCUCAUAUUGACCAAGCCUGCACUACAGCCUUCUUCCACCUGCGUACCAUAGCCAAGAUUAGAAAUAUUCUGUCU